rnacentral:rRNA from 1 species
AGCUGCAGCCAUAUCACCCUGCAACUCACAGCUGGAAGCCCCCUGAAGCUCAGCAGGUGUGAGCCUGGCCAGUACCUGGAUGGGAGACCUCCUGGGAAAAACUAAGGCUGCUGCUG